rnacentral:ncRNA from 2 species
GACGGGUAGCCUGACCCCGGCGUCGACGGUCGAGGAACCCCGGUGAGAACCCGGGACGGUCCCGCCACUGUGAACCCGCCGCCGCCAGGUGCGGGCAAGUCAGGAACUCGCCGUGACGUGACCUCCCUC